UGGGGAAUAUUGCACAAUGGGCGAAAGCCUGAUGCAGCAACGCCGCGUGAGUGAUGAAGGCCUUCGGGUUGUAAAGCUCUGUCUUUUGGGACGAUAAUGACGGUACCAAAGGAGGAAGCCACGGCUAACUACGUGCCAGCAGCCGCGGUAAUACGUAGGUGGCAAGCGUUGUCCGGAUUUACUGGGCGUAAAGGAUGCGUAGGCGGAUUUUUAAGUGAGAUGUGAAAACCCUAAGCUUAACUUGGGGACUGCAUUUCAUACUGGAAAUCUAGAGUGCGGGAGAGGAGAAUGGAAUUCCUAGUGUAGCGGUGAAAUGCGUAGAGAUUAGGAAGAACACCAGUGGCGAAGGCGAUUCUCUGGACCGUAACUGACGCUGAGGCAUGAAAGCGUGGGUAGCAAACAGGAUUAGAUACCCUGGUAGUCCACGCCGUAAACGAUGAGUACUAGGUGUAGGAGGUAUCGACCCCUUCUGUGCCGCAGUUAACACAAUAAGUACUCCGCCUGGGAAGUACGAUCGCAAGAUUAAAAACUUAAAGGAAUUGACGGGGGUCAUAGCUG
rnacentral:rRNA from 1 species